UGUCGUCCAUCCGAUCCUCCUGAUCCCCUACUCCUUUUCUCUUCUUACCGGUCGUUCUCUCUCUCCCGAAUCCCCUCUCCGUCUCUCCCUGUCUCUCCCAUUCUCCUCAAGAUUGACCUCCAAAAUCAGCCGCUAGGGCUGUGGAGCAGCCGAGCAGGGCGCAACCUUGGCCUCCAAAAUCAGCCGGCGGAGGGGCGGAAUAGUGCGCGGGCGGAGGGGCGGAGCCGGCCCGGGCAGCGGGGGCGGAGGAGUGCGCGGGCGGGCGGCGGAGCACGGCGCGGGCCGCGGGGGCGGAGGAGUGCGCGGGCAGGCGGCGGAGGAGUGUGCGGACGGGCGGCGGAGCACGGCGCGGCCGGAGUGGCGGAGGAGAAGGGCGCAGGCGCGGCGCAGGGGCGGAGCAGGUGCGGGCUGUGGCUGUGGAGCACGGCACGGCUGCAGCGGCAGCAGAGAAGGCAGUGGAGGAUUCUCGCGAGAGCAAGACGAGGUGGCCUACCGCCGCCGCCGCCAUCUCCGCCCCUUCGCAGCGUGUUCGGCCUCAGGCCCGCCAAGGUUGUGCCUUAAUCUGGCGUCGCACAAGCGCGUGCAGGGCAAGGACCGGCGGUCGGUGCCUCCUCGGCCUGGCGGCCUUCUUCGCCAUCAUGGACGCCUCGGGGUCAGCUAAGGCACUCUCGUCUGCACUGCACCCUCCUCAUCCGCCAUCUCCCCCAAAGCUGGGUCCCCUUGUUGUCCGGCAAGCCAUUUUGAUCUGAAAUCGUCAUGAUGUUGAGGUCAAUACAAGCUAGGCAUCAGUGGCCAAUCAAUGACUCUAGGAGGCAAGCUAGAUUGACAACCUUGACAACAUGGUAGUGGAGGUGAUUGAGAUGAAGAAGAUUUUUGUGGCAACAAAGAGUUCAAAGCCGUUUGCCUCCACAAACAUGCUCAUUUGUAAACUUGUAAAUUCGACCUCAUGAUGUCUGAUAAAGUGGUGCUUCAAUUUUUAGCUUUAAAGGCUAAAUUUUUUACGGAUUUGGAACUUGGAAGACGCUAUUGUGGUUUUGUUAGAGGUAGCGAUAGUGUUGUUGUUGUAUAGAUGUGUGUGUAACUAUACGAUGUAUGAAUUUCUGCUUCUAUGUUUCUUGUUGGAAAAAAUGGACCAGUUGAAAAAUAAA